CUUUCUGCUCCUUGAUGUCCCUUCCUGCUCAUUUCUGUUCCUUCUCCUUUUCUUACUUUACCUUCCUGCUCCUUGCUGACUCUUCAUGUAGGCUGUCUCCCCCAUCCCUCACUUCCAUAGGUGUGCGCACGGGGUGUGUCGGGUGUGCAUGGGCACACCCUAGUCCCCGCGGCACUCCAAUGGAUUGAGACCGGCAGGGGAUAUUCUCGGUCGGCUCAUGCAGAGCGGCGGCUCUGGUCUAAGCCUCCAUGGGCCGGUGGGGAGAUCAAAGUUCUACCUCACGGUCCACAGCAGCAUGGAGGGAGGCAGCAGAGAACCCGGGCUAGAGUUCACUCUCCACUGAACCACCAGGGAAGGCAGCAGGACUGGGAUAUUAACUAAUCUGCCCCCACUUCCACCCAAACAUACAGCACACACACACACAGCACCUACACACAUACAUCACCCUCGCACACACAGCACCCACACACAUACAACACCCACACACCCAACACACUAACAGCAUCCUCACAAACACACAAAACCCACACACAGCACCCGCACAGCACCCACAAACAAACAGCAUACUCACACACAAACAGCACCCUGACAAACACACAACACCCACACACAGCACACUAACAGGACCCGCACAAACACGCACACACAAACACCCUCUCACAUAUACACACACACACACAGCACACUACCAGUUCCCUCGCACACAGCACACAAACAGCACCCUCACACACAGCACACUAACAGCACUCUCACAAACACACACAAAAACACCGUCACCCACAUAGCACACUACCAACACCCUCACACACACACACAGCAGUGUAUAUAUAUAUAUAUAUAUAUAUAUAUAUAUAUAUAUACACACACACAUACAUACAUAUACACAUGGCGUGUGUUUGUGAUUUAGGGUGCACACCCUAAUGCAAUAGGCUCACUAAUCUGCUCACUUCCCUAAUCUAUAGGCUGC